rnacentral:snoRNA from 1 species
UUCAACAACAGAGAAUCAUUUCUAUAGUAAAUCGUCCCACCUGAUUUUUUCGCACUAGCGACUGAAUCCCCAACCUUGCUGAUGACCACCAUGUCCCCAGCGCCCUAGAGUGAAGCCUUUUUAUACUCCCGCCUCGAUUGCUUCGGUCACCGAUUUCGUGUGUCUGCUUCAAUCCAGGGAGUGGUGAUGAUCUUGACCUUGCCUUGGCGUCUUGACUUCGGUCGGCCUGGUUUGGUGGGCGCUGUGGAGGUCUGAAAGGU